CGCGCAGGCGGCCAGGUCAGUCGAAUGUGAAAGCCCCCGGCUCAACUGGAGAAGGUCGUUCGAUACUGCCUGGCUCGAAGAUAGGAGAGGGAAGUGGAAUUUCAGGUGUAGUGGUGAAAUGCGUAGAUAUCUGAAGGAACACCAGUGGCGAAGGCGACUUUCUGGCCUAUUCUUGACGCUGAGGCGCGAAAGCUAGGGGAGCGAACG
rnacentral:rRNA from 1 species